GAAGUAUAUGGAAAAUGCAUAUGUAUUCUAGCUGAAUGUCCACUUAAGAAUAUAUCCAUGUUUGCCGAUGAAAGCAAUUGUUUUCUCUAGAUGCACUGUGUGCGCUACCAAUGAAACAUUAUCUAUCCUGCACAUACGUCACAACUGCUAAAGCAACAUGACAUCAAACUGGUUAAGCCGUACUUGCAAGAGAGUAUAACAGCAGAUGGAGAAAGUACAGGAAAGAAGAACAUGGAGACUUGGUAGAGAGGUCGUCAAACUGGAACCCAGCUUUGACAUGAGUGGCCAUGCAUAGCAAGAUGUUGCCCGUGGUGCAAUGUGUGCCUUGCAAGUAAGACGACGACGCCUUGCCGAGGCAAUGGAAACUUCAGUAGUGGCAGAAAAACCGAACCUAAGAGGCGGCCGGCAGGGGCUACAGAAGCAGCACACACCAACAGCAAGCCGAGGCAACUUGGGAAGCGGAGGCGGCAAUAAUGACUUGCUAACCAUGGGGCAGUCUGCCAAGCAUAAACCCCAUUCUUCUCAUAAGCUAUAGCCAUGACCGAAGACGACAUCGCAACAUGCCCCUCCCUCCUAUGCCUCAAAUCGUGUACCAGCGAGAGACCGUACCGGUGUAGAGAAGCCCUUGCGAAAAUAUUAUUUAGUUAGAAGGCUGAUUGCUGAUGAACAUUGAUUUUAGAACAAUAAACAUAUGUUCACAUAAUGUUACGGUUAAUCCCGAAAAUAUAGUAUUGAACUAUCCAAAAAGUGAUCUAAAAUGAUGAAAAGUUGAGAACAGAAAACAAUCAACAUCAUCAAAAUAUUCUUCCAAUUAAGACACUACUACAACAAGAGAAUGGAACUUUUGGCAUCAAUGUUGAUGUUCCUCCAUCUGGCUCCAUUCUCUUACCGUCAAAGAAUGGAACUAAUUCAUUUAUGACCAAGCAAAAAUCUCCACCGCGCAAGAGCCUUGUGACAAAAAGAUUGAGAUGGUUACCUCACAGAAUUCCUGCAAUUAGAUGCUCACUUUGGCAACAAAUACUUGAAAGCGGAUAAUUAACUGAAAGGUGAAGCAGAAGUAUGAAUUACUAACCAUUACUUGAUGACCUAUCUACACAAUUGAGAGAUUCUGUAUGUAGUACUAUGCUUAUUCAUAUCAGAAUAUCACAAAGAUGGAUGUGUACCUCCCUGCUCCUAGACCAUGAACUAAAGGGUUGUGAUUUGCUUCUCUUCCUUCAUUGGUCCUGUGUGGAACCAAACAGUACUCAUACUCCUUUUUCAUACAGCUAAAAUAAUGAAUCAAAGAAAAGUCUGAACAACUUCGCACAAAUAAAAGAGCAUAUCUAAUUAAACACAUCCAGUCAAAAAAUUGUUCUCGCUGGAGAGCACAUCAAUAUAAAAUGAAAAGUAUCAAUCAACUUUUAUAUUACAGGUGAUAUUGGCACAAUUUAUCAGAAGAAAAAAAUGUGCAAAUUAGCAAACGCCUUCUGUCCAUAGUAGCAUCAAGAGGUGAAAAACAAGUGAAAUGUAGCAUCAUGGAACCACUGAAUCAACAAGGAUAGUUAGAAUGCAAACAUAUUGGAGAUGAGAACUCAAUUAACCUUUUAUCUGGCACAAGCUUCGCAUCAGAUCAACUUCAUGGAGAAUAUUACUUGUCAACUUCCAUCUCCGCACGACAACGUCCAUCGAUGAUAGUGCUGACUUGCUUGAUUACUUGUCAAAUUCUC
rnacentral:lncRNA from 1 species